UCUCUCCCACUCUCUCCAGUGUCGCCCCUCCCUCUUCUCUUUUUUCUCCGGCCUGCGAGGCCAUCAGCCAGAGGUGGCGACGCCCCUCUGUCGCCACCCCUCUCCUCUGCUUCCUCCCCUUCUCCCUCUCUCCACCUCCCUCAUCUUCUUCCCCCCUCUUUCUCCAUUCUUUCCGUGGGAAUCGCCACCUCCAAGUGGUGGAAGUCGCCCCUCUUCCUCUCUCCUCUCCUUCGUCUCCCCCUCCUCUCUUUUUUCUCCCAUUCUCCUUCCCUUCCCCUUCACAGGCAAGAGUAGCGGACGGCUCCGAGCUCCAUCGGCGAGCAACCAUCGCAGGGAGCUGCACCGGCGAAGGCGAGGAAGGUCGCCAGUAAUGUUUUCACCGUCCCUUCUUUUUUAUCUUUUCGUUCUUCUCCCUGCAGUACCAGCAGCGACUCCAACAAAGCAAGCUCCGUCGUUGUCCAAGCUUUGGGUCAUGUGAUGGAUCUGUUGAGAUCCGUCUUUGGGUACAGAUGAUAUUACAAACGAUGAUGGUAUACCGGAACUAUUGAACUGGUGAAGGAAUCGUGGAGCUCAAUUUCCAAAACUUAGUAGGAUGGUGAAGGAUGUGCUUGCAAUUCAAGGAUCAUCAGUAGCUUCGGAGGCAGCUUUCAGCGCGGCAAGAUUUCAAAUUGGAGA